rnacentral:tRNA from 1 species
AUGAGAUGUUAGUAAAACAUUACAAAACCUUGUCAUGGUUAAAUUAUAAGUUAAAAUCUUAUACAUCUUU